AGCGGCAGGCUUAACACAUGCAAGUCGAGGGGCAGCACGGGUAGCAAGUACCUGGUGGCGACCGGCGCAAGGGUGCGUAACGCGUGAGCAACAUGCCCUAUACAGGGGGAUAAUCCAGGGAAACUUGGUCUAAUAUCCCAUAGUAUUUAGAGGAGGCAUCUUCUAUAAUUAAAGCUUCGGUGGUAUAGGAUUGGCUCGCGUGACAUUAGCUAGAUGGUGAGGUAACGGCUCACCAUGGCAAUGAUGUCUAGGGGUUCUGAGAGGAAGGCCCCCCACACUGGGACUGAGACACGGCCCAGACUCCUACGGGAGGCAGCAGUGAGGAAUAUUGGACAAUGGAUGGAAAUCUGAUCCAGCCAUGCCGCGUGCAGGAAGACAGCCCUAUGGGUUGUAAACUGCUUUUAUAUGGGAGCAAUAAGGUCUACGUGUAGACUGAUGAGAGUACCAUAUGAAUAAGCAUCGGCUAACUCCGUG
rnacentral:rRNA from 1 species